rnacentral:rRNA from 1 species
UACGGAGGGUGCAAGCGUUAUCCGGAAUCACUGGGUUUAAAGGGUGCGUAGGUGGCGUUAUAAGUCAGGAGUGAAAUUCCACAGCUUAACUGUAGGAACUGCUUUUGAUACUGUAAUGCUUGAACCAAGAUGAGGUAGGCGGAAUGUGGCAUGUAGCGGUGAAAUGCAUAGAUAUGCCAUAGAACACCAAUUGCGAAGGCAGCUUACUAGACUUGAGUUGACACUGAGGCACGAAAGCGUGGGGAGCAAACAGG